rnacentral:rRNA from 1 species
AUGACUAUUCCGCCUGGGCAACAAGAUCCAUACAGAAAUAGAAAACAAGGUCUUUCACAAAACGUAAUGGUUGCAUGUGACUUUGACAUGAAGUUUGUGCAUGUACAUGCUGGAUGGGAGGGAUCUGCAUCAGAUGCAAGGGUUUUGCAAGAUGCACUAGAACAUGGAUUCAAUGUACCGCCUAGAAAAUUUUAUCUUGUAGAUGCGGGUUAUGCAAAUACACCCCAAUUCAUUGCUCCAUACCGAGGAACUAGAUAUCAUUUACAAGAACAAGGAAGAGUUCAGCAAAGGCCACAAUGCUACAAGGAGUUAUUUAACCUUCGACAUGCUCAACUACAAAAUCAUGUCAAAAGAAUUGUUGGCAUACUGAAAGCAAGGUAUCCCAUACUAAAGGCAGCUACAAUGUUCGAUAUUGACACACAAGUUGAUACAGUUGUAGCUUGUUGUGUUUUGCACAAUUUCAUAAGACUACACAAUGGAGAUAUGACAUUGCCUGACAGAGCUACAAUGGAUAUUAAUGAAAGCAAUAUGCAGGAUGUACCAGAUGGAGAUGCCAAAUACAAAAAAGAUGUGAUGAUAUUUAACAACUUGAGACAAGCUGGAAAUGAGAUGCGAGAUGCAAUGGCAAUGCAAAUGUGGGCAGAUUACAUUGCCAGAAGAUAA